CCUACGGGAGGCAGCAGUAGGGAAUCUUGCACAAUGGACGAAAGCCUGAUGGAGCAACGCAGCGUGGGUGAAGAAUGCCCUCGGAGUGUAAAACUCUGUUGAUAGAGAAGUAAGAGCGUGAGAGUAACUGUUCACGCUUCGACGGUAUCUAACAGGAAAGGCAAGGCUAACUCCGUGCCAGCAGCUGCGGUAAUACGUAGGAGGCAAGUGUUAACCGGAUUUAUUGGGAGUAAGGGGAAAGGAGGCGGUCUUUUAAGUGUGAUGUGAAAGCCUUCGGCUUAACCGGAGUAGUGCAUUGGAAACUGGGAGUCUUGAGUGCAGAUGAGGAGAGUGGAACUCCUUGUGUAGCGGUGAAAUGCGUAGAUAUAUGGAAGAACACCAGUGGCGAAGGCGGCUCUCUAGUCUGUAACUGACGCUGAGGUUCGAAAGCGUGGGUAGCAAACAGGAUUAGAUACCCUGGUAGUC
rnacentral:rRNA from 1 species